rnacentral:lncRNA from 13 species
ACGACCAAUGGACAUUAGACCGGUGGAAAUCUAUCUUUUGGUCUGAUGAGUCCAACUUUCAGAUUUUGGUUCCAACCGCCAUGUCUUUGAGAGACACAGAGUAGGUGAAUGGAUGAUCUCUGCAUUUGUGGUUCCCACCGUGAAGAAUGAAGGACGAAAGGGCUAUUUGACCAAGAAGGGGAGUGAUGGAGUGCUGCAUCAGAUGACCUGGCCACCACAAUCACCCAACCUCAACCCAAUUGAGAUGGUUUGGGAUGAGUUUGACCAUAGAGUGAAGGAAAAGCAGCCGACAAGUGCUCAGCACAUGUGGGAACUCCUUCAAGACUGUUGGAAAAGCGUUCCAGGUGAAGCUGGUUGAGAGAACGCCAAGAGUGUGCAAAGCUGUUAUCAAGGCAAAGGGUGGCUACAUUGAAGAAUAUAAAAUAUCAAAUAUAUUUUGAUGUGUUUAACACUUUUUUGGUUACUACAUGAUUCCAUUUCAUAGUUUUGAUGUAUUCACAAUUAUUCUACAAUGUAGAAAAAGGUUCAAAUAAAGAAAAACCCUUGAAUGAGUAGGUGUGUCCAAACUUUUGACUGGUACUGCAUAUUGUACUGUUGUCUGAUAACGGUUCUAUUUGCAGAUAGAGUUCAUUGUUCCCCCUUUCUGACAUGAUAUUUACAUGGAGAGAUAUUCAUUUUUUGUUUUAGACUGGUGAUGGAUUCUGCCAGGAGGCCCUGUUUCAUAACCGUGUGUUUGUGGGUACUGGCAACCACCUGUCUUCCAUAUUCCGGCUCCCAGAGCCCCAGUCUGUGGGGUAAGAAGGCGGUGUUCUUGGGCCGUCCAUGUGUGUGGCAGCUGGGUAAGGAGUGUGUAAUGCCCCUCCUGGAAGAGCUCAGUGUGUGUGUGCACCUGUGCCGGAAGAUCGCGACACCUGAGUGGACCGGCUUUGUGUACAAGGCACCUGGCAACAGGCAGGUAGAGCUGGGGCUUGCAGGCCGGGGAGGGCUCCUGGUGGCAUGGCUGUUUGGGCAGGAGUGGUCGGUACCAGAGGACCUGCCCCUGGAACACUGGCAAAACGUCUGCCUCACCUGGUCCAGCAACUCCGAGAGGCUCAGACUCUACAUCAAUGGGAGCAGUCGCCUGGACGCCCACGUUAACGCCAGCCUGUCCCGGCAACUGGCCCACAAUGGCACCCUGACCCUGGGGGUGUCCCAUAACAUAGUAGAUGGGGUGAUGGAGUUUGAGGAUGGGAAGAACUUCCUGGGGGACAUAAGCCUGUUCCGGAUAUGGGGGCAGGAGCAGACGGCUGAGGAGGUGAGGGCCCAUAGCUGUGCCGAUGGGAACGUGGUGAGCUGGGACACCCGUGACUGGGACUACCAGAGCUGCCUACCUGAAGAUGACACUAGCCUCCAGUGUGCAUGGUCAAUGUUCAAAAUUAAAAUGAAGGCCGUCAUAGCACAACGGCACCCUCUUGACAAGCCUGUCAAUUCCCCAGAGGACAUCAUACGCAAAUGGGUAAGAAGAAUGUGAUAAAGAAUUGCUUUUUCCAUUACAUAAAGGUGCCAUGAUAUUCAAUCCCAGUUGAAUAUGAACCCUAUUUGUCUCUUUUGUCAUUUUCCAUCAGCUGGGGACCAUAUUUCCUGGGAACAUUUCUGUGCGUGACAUCUUUGUGUCAUCUCCAAGGUAGUUUCAUGUGUCAAUUGAACGGAAUUGUCCAUUGGAAUAUAAUGUACAGCAUUGCUUGAAUGGGGAGGGUGUUUUUGUAUGUGUGUGUGUGUGUGUGUGUGUGUAUGUGUGUGUGUGUGUGCAUGCGUAUGUGCGUACGUGUGUGUAAGUGUGAGUGUAUGUUUGCGGGUGCUUGUAUGUGCGUGUACUAUAGCGAAGCCAUAUCUAUAUGAGAAACCAACAUAAAGAACAAAACUGUCUAGACUUUCAACAUACAUCACAUCUUGUGUGAAUGUAGAUGAUGUGUGUAUGUGUGUGUUGAAGCAACCUAGAACAUUGAAAUGAACACUGCGUGGACACAUGCCCCUUAGCCUAAUCUCUAGUGUUAUCUGUGUUCCCACACAGCCAGAUCUGUCAAGUGGGCUAUAAUCCUAGUGUGCGAAACACAGAGAAAGCUCAGGUACGUCACUGUCCAGUGCCUCAAUUUGAUUUUCCAUAACGAGGAUUGCAAUAUCCUCAGAGAAGCACCGUGCUGAUAGGGACAGCACUGAAGGGCUCCAGAUAACGUUGUUAUUCAACAGGACAGGCAGGAAACUGGCAGACAGGCUUUAAUCGUAAACCCUUUUGUCAGGUCACAGACGAGGGGAAAGGUAAACUCAUGAACAAGUGGGAGAAUUGUAAUUAAGAGACCUUAAAAGUUAGAACUAAAAUCAUAAAUAUGUGUUUGUUUCCAGGAAGCAAGAAAAAUGGAGUUCAACUCAACUUCUGACAAGUGGUAUGAGGAGAAUGCAUAAGUCAUCUUCCUCAGGAAAGUCAAUAAUAUGCCAGCAUGAGGAUGCAUAAUGGACAUUAUAGUUUCUAGUCUGAUGUUGUGUUGCUUCACUGUAGUGUCUCUCUCCAUAGUGUCAGCUGUUUGGUCUAUGUGAGUGUUAGUCCUGAGACUGAUGUUGGAGCGGCCCAGAAGGAUAUCUUUGGAAAGCUGAGUCUAGCCUUCACCUCUGGCCAAGUCACCCUUAUUGCAGACCCCAGCAGCCUCAGUGUACGCCCCAUAGGUGGGUACACACACACACACACACACACACACACACACACACGCACACGCACACGCACACGCACACGCACACACACACACACACACACACACACACACACACACAUACACAUACAUACACACACAUACAGUACCAGUCAAAAGUUUGGACACACCUAGCUGUACAAGAGUUUUUGUUUAUUUUUACUAUUUUAUAUUUUAUGCGUAUAGAAUAAUAGUGAAGACAUCAAAACUAUGAAAAACACAUAUGGAAUCAUGUAGUAACCAAAAAAGUGUUGAAAAUAUAUUUGAGAUUUGAGAUUCUUCAAAGUAGCCACCCUUUGCCUUGAUGACAGCUUUGCACACUCUUGGCGUUCUCUCAACCAGCUUCACCUGGAAUGCUUUUCCAACAGUCUUGAAGCAGUUCCCA